rnacentral:rRNA from 1 species
GAUGAACGCUAGCGGCAGGCCUAACACAUGCAAGUCGAGGGGUAUAAGUCUUCGGACUUUGAGACCGGCGCACGGGUGCGUAACGCGUAUGCAAUCUACCUUGUACAGAGGGAUAGCCCAGAGAAAUUUGGAUUAAUACCUCAUAGUAUAUUUGAAUGGCAUCAUUUAAAUAUUAAAGUUCCAACGGUACAAGAUGAGCAUGCGUCCCAUUAGUUAGUUGGUGUGGUAACGGCACACCAAGACGAUGAUGGGUAGGGGUCCUGAGAGGGAGAUCCCCCACACUGGCACUGAGACACGGACCAGACUCCUACGGGAGGCAGCAGUGAGGAAUAUUGGUCAAUGGAGGCAACUCUGAACCAGCCAUGCCGCGUGCAGGAUGACGGUCCUAUGGACUGUAAACUGCUUUUAUACGGGAAGAAAAAGAGUUACGUGUAACUUAUUGACGGUACCGUAAGAAUAAGGAUCGGCUAACUCCGUGCCAGCAGCCGCGGUAA